rnacentral:rRNA from 1 species
AUUUGCAGAGGAUGCUUUUGGUGAGGUGCCUUCCAAGUUCCCUAGAACGGGACGCCAGAGAGGGUGAGAGCCCCGUACAGUUGGACACCAAGCCUUUGUAAAGCUCCUUCGACGAGUCGAGUAGUUUGGGAAUGCUGCUCAAAAUGGGAGGUAUAUUUCUUCUAAAGCUAAAUACCGGCCAGAGACCGAUAGCGCACAAGUAGAGUGAUCGAAAGAUGAAAAGCACUUUGAAAAGAGGGUUAAACAGCACGUGAAAUUGUUAAAAGGGAAGCGCUUGUGACCAGACUUGCGUCCGGUGAAUCACCCAGCUCUCGCGGCUGGGGCACUUCGCCGGCUCAGGCCAGCAUCAGCUCGCUGUCGGGGACAAAAGCUUCAGGAACGUAGCUCUCUUCGGGGAGUGUUAUAGCCUGUUGCAUAAUACCCUUCGGCGGGCUGAGGUACGCGCUCCGCAAGGAUGCUGGCAUAAUGGUCAUCAGCGACCCGUCUUGAA